rnacentral:rRNA from 1 species
AUGAUGAACAAGGGCUUACCACCCCAUCUCCCCUGCAGCUCCACCCCAGUGCGAUGGGAGCGCUGCCCCCGCUGCUUCUUGCCCCGGUCACCGGCCACGCUGCUCCUUCGCCCCACCACCGGCCUCCCCUGCUCCUCCACCCCCACCGUCAAGACCCAGCUGCGAUGCUACUCCUCAAUUUUCCUGCGCCACCCCUCUUCUCCUGCGGAUGUGACCCUUCUCUUCAAGGAGAAGCCGGCAUGCGGGAGGAUCCGGCAGGAUCCGGUAGAAGGAGAUGAGGAGAGGCGGCGCUGGGCAGAGGAGAAGGAGGAGAAGGGGCGCGGCGGCGGCGGUCGUGAUCAGGAGAGGAGGAGAGACGAGGCAUGGGGUCUGGAGAUCGAGGAUGGGCGGGGAUUGGCAGCUAGGUUUUCACCUGAUUCCACCGCGCACAGAACAUACGGGACCCUGAGGUUUCUUCUCAAUGUAGCUGUAAAACGGGCCCGUGAAAAAAGGAGCCCCACACGUCAUUCACUCAAGCAUGAAAGAUCAAUGUCCAAAAAAACUAACCGCGGGAUUUUUGACAGCACUGUAAAAUCGGGCCAGCGAGGCAGAUCGUGCGGCCAGAACGCAUGCGCGCCGCGAAUGCCCCUAGAAUGGCGGGAUGCCACUUCAAUCACAGUUGUAGGCCCACUUUGGACAGGUCCUCUACAUGAUUGUUCUUCCAUUACAAAAAUGCUAAACUUGGCUGUGGAAUGGGGACGGGCACACACAAGUGAGAAUGGUGUCGAAAAACUUCUUGGCGCCAUGAUUGAGGAGAGUGACCCAAGGUUACCACCUGGAUAUAUAAGACUUGAUGAGAUUGCCUGCCGAGAAAAAGUUAACUCUCCACCGCUCGGUACCCUCAUUCAUUCAUUGCAGAAGGUGAUACAAACGCAUCGAAAGAAUGCCCGGCCUCUGCAUAGCACGAUCCUAUGA